ACUUUUGUGGUUUAGUUGGAUAGAACUUCCAUUUCUAAACCGAAAGUCUUGGGAUCAAAUCUCAAUAAAAGAA
rnacentral:tRNA from 1 species